rnacentral:lncRNA from 1 species
UGCCUAAGGUCACCUAGCUAGUUGCCAGGGAACAGAGGCCUGUCACUGGGUCCCAAGCCCAGGCUCUCUCCACGCAACGCCAAUGCCCCUCCCUCCCAUCCCCAACAUAGGAAGCAAUGUUGGGAUACAUACAUGUUAACAUCCUGAGGAUCAUACAGCUCAAAAAUGUCACCACUUACCAUUUCUGAAGGAGGUUUUUUUUUGGGGGGUGGGGUGAUGUGUUGUUGGUAGAAAGGGAACUAUAUAGCAACAGGGACGUGGAGAGAGCUGUGGAGCUCCGAGCCUGUCUGAACUGUUCAGGAAGGACUUAAUAAAAGGGCACUCUAAGAAUGUUGAUGAAAUCAUCAAUAAGAUGUUACGAGCAUAAAGAAUGGAGUUGGUGCCUGAAGUACAGCGGAUGUAUGUGUGUAAAGUUUCUAUGUGAAUCUGCUGGAUUUCAAAGCCACAAGUUUCCUGUAUCUUCAAGAGUGCAAUCAUCUCCUAACGGUUCCUCCUUCAAUCCACGCUCCACGCUGCUGCAAAGAGAACUUUCGACAGUGGAGAUCUGAUUAUGUCACUUCCCUACUUCAGACUUUCCAAUGGUUUUGCAUUACCUUCAAAAUAAAGAAUAAACUUCACACGGCAGACAGAGCCUUCAUCAUCCAGAUUCAUCUAGAGCAGCAUUGCCCAGUAGAAAUACAUGAGCAAUAUAUGUAGCUCUAAAUUUAUAAUAGCCACAUUUAAAAAAAUUUUUUUAAAUUACAGGUGAAGUUAGUUUAAAAAAUACAUUUUAUUUAACCCAAUAUAUUAAAAAUAUCAUAGCAACACAAACCCAGUAUAAAAAUUAUUAAUGAGGUGUCUUAUAUUCCUUUUUUCUAAGUUCUCAAAAUCUGGUGUGUAUUUAACACAUACAGCACAUCUUAAUUCAGAUGCUAAAUUUUCAAAGGUU